rnacentral:rRNA from 1 species
GGGAAUUGCUGGCCGGGUGGCUGGGGAAUACGUAGGGGGCCGGCGUUGUCCGGAGUGUGUGUGGGUAAAGAGCGGGUAGGCGGCCCGGUAGGGCUGCUGUGAAAACUCGAGGCUCAACCUCGAGACGCCGGCGGAAACCAGCUGGCUAGAGUCCGGAAGAGGAGAUUGGAAUUCCUGGUGUAGCGGUGAAAUGCGCAGAUAUCAGGAAGAACACCCGUGGCGAAGGCGGCUCUCUGGGACGGUACUGACGCUGAGACGCGAAAGCGUGGGGAGCGAACAGGAUUAGAUACCCUUGUAGUU